UCCCCAUCACUAUAUUGGUUUAUUACUGUUUCGGAGUGCUCCUUAUUGAUAUCGUUUUUUGUGCGGAAUAGGUCACCAACCGUAUGACGUGCAUUCAUAAUUGAUUUGUGACUGCCACAAAAUGAGUUGACUUUGGAAAGUCAUUGACCAAGAUGAGAAGGGGAGACCUCAACGCAGUCGUUGAUAAAGUCCAGGUUCGAAGCGGGUUGUUUUG
rnacentral:lncRNA from 1 species